rnacentral:rRNA from 1 species
UACGGAAGGCAGCAGUGGGGAAUAUUGCACAAUGGGCGCAAGCCUGAUGCAGCCAUGCCGCGUGUAUGAAGAAGGCCUUCGGGUUGUAAAGUACUUUCAGUCGUGAGGAAGGUGUUAAGGUUAAUAACCUUAGCAAUUGACGUUAGCGACAGAAGAAGCACCGGCUAACUCCGUGCCAGCAGCCGCGGUAAUACGGAGGGUGCGAGCGUUAAUCGGAAUUACUGGGCGUAAAGGGCACGCAGGCGGUUAAUUAAGUUGGAUGUGAAAUCCCCGGGCUUAACCUGGGAAUGGCAUUCAAGACUGGUUAGCUAGAGUCUUGUAGAGGGGGUUAGAAUUCCAUGUGUAGCGGUGAAAUGCGUAGAGAUGUGGAGGAAUACCGGUGGCGAAGGCGGCCCCUGGACAAAGACUGACGCUCAUGUGCGAAAGCGUGAGGAGCAAACAGGAUUAGAUACC